AACGAACGCUGGCGGCAUGCCUAACACAUGCAAGUCGAACGAGACCUUCGGGUCUAGUGGCGCACGGGUGCGUAACGCGUGGGAACCUGCCCUUAGGUUCGGAAUAACUCCCCGAAAGGGGAGCUAAUACCGGAUAAUGUCUUCGGACCAAAGAUUUAUCGCCUUUGGAUGGGCCCGCGUUGGAUUAGCUAGUUGGUAGGGUAAAAGCCUACCAAGGCGACGAUCCAUAGCUGGUCUGAGAGGAUGAUCAGCCACACUGGGACUGAGACACGGCCCAGACUCCUACGGGAAGCAGCAGUGGGGAAUAUUGGACAAUGGGCGAAAGCCUGAUCCAGCAAUGCCGCGUGAGUGAUGAAGGCCUUAGGGUUGUAAAGCUCUUUUACCCGGGAUGAUAAUGACAGUACCGGGAGAAUAAGCUCCGGCUAACUCCGUG
rnacentral:rRNA from 1 species